rnacentral:rRNA from 1 species
CCGCCUCUCAAGUGGAGCGAUGAAGGGACGCGGCGUGGUAGGUCAGCCUCUUAACGGAUUGAGGUGCCAAACGCGUAGGACGUUGAAGGGUGUAGGUAAGUCCGCACCCCGAGUCCGAAACGUGAUGGCGGUGCCUUAGAGCCACAAGUGAUUGAGCCAUGCCGCCUAGAAAAGCUUCUAAGCGUUGAUAUUUGAGUGACCGUACCGCAAACCGACACUGGUAGGUGGGUAGAAUAUACCGAGGGGAGCGAGAGAACCCUCGUUAAGGAAUUAGGCAAAUUUCCCCCGUACGUUCGCAAUAAGGGGGGCCUCUGGUGGUGAGCUUAAUCGCAAAGCUGCUGGAGGCCGCAGAGAAAUGGCUCUUCCAACUGUUUAACAAAAACACAGGUCUCUGCUAAGUCGAAAGACGAAGUAUAGGGGCUGACGCCUGCCCAGUGCUGGAAGGUUAAGGGGAGAGGUUAGGCGCAAGCCGAAGCUUUGAGCCGAAGCCCCAGUGAACGGCGGCCGUAACUAUAACGGUCCUAAGGUAGCGAAAUUCCUUGUCGGGUAAGGUCCGACCCGCACGAAUGGCGUAAUGAGAGGAGCACUGUCUCAACGAGGGACUCGGCGAACAUUGAAGGACGUGUGAAGAUACACGUGACCCGCAGCGGGACAAAAAGACCCCGUGAAGCUUUACUACAACUUGCCAUUGAGUUAGGGCUAAACCUGUGUAGUAUAGGUGGGAGGCUUUGAAGCUGGGACGCCAGUCUCGGUGGAGCCACCGUUGAAAUACCACCCUGGUUUAUUCUUGGCUCUAACCUGUCCCGUUAUCCGGCAUGGGAACAGUGGCUGGUGGGUAGUUUGACUGGGGCGGUCGCCUCCGAAAGCGUAACAGAGGCGCCCAAAGGUUCCCUCAGGCUGAAUGGAAACCAGCCGUUGAGUGUAAAGGCACAAGGGAGCUUGACUGCAAGACCAACAAGUCGCGCAGGGACGAAAGUCGGGCUUAGUGAUCCCACGGUUCAGAGUGGAAUGGCCGUGGCUUACCGGAUAAAAGCUACUCCGGGGAUAACAGGGAGUCUGGUCCAAGAGUUCAUAUCGACGACCAGGUUCGCCACCUCGAUGUCGGCUCAUCACAUCCUGGGGCUGGAUAAGGUCCCAAGGGUUGGGCUGUUCGCCCAUUAAAGUGGUACGUGAGCUGGGUUCAGACCGUCGUGAGACAGGUCGGUCUCUAUCCGCUGUGGGCGUAAGGGAUUUGAGAGAAGCUGCCCCUAGUACGAGAGGACCGGGGUGGACGGACCUCUAGUGUGCCAGUUGUUCUGCCAAGAGCAUUGCUGGGUAGCUACGUCCGGCAGAGAUAACCGCUGAAAGCAUCUAAGUGGGAAACUCGUCUCAAGAUUAGAUCCCUCAUCCGUAUGGAGUAAGACCGCUAGAAGACUACUAGUUUGAUAGGCGGCAGGUGUAAGCGCAGUAAUGUGUUCAGCUUAGCCGUACUAAUGGUCGAGGGCUUACGUUU